rnacentral:piRNA from 1 species
UGACAAUGGCUACAUUGCGGGCAA